CUCUCUCUCCCCUCGAUCGCCGGCAAUCUCAACUCGUUUCUCCUCUAUCGCUCCAAUCUCAGCUCCGCCAUGGCGUUCGAGAAAAUCAAGGUCGCCAACCCGAUCGUUGAGAUGGACGGGGAUGAAAUGACUCGUGUAUUUUGGCAAUCAAUUAAAGAUAAGCUUAUUUUACCGUUUCUGGAGUUGGAUAUUAAGUACUUCGACUUGGGGCUUCUUAAUCGUGAUGCUACGG
rnacentral:misc_RNA from 1 species